rnacentral:rRNA from 1 species
GACGAACGCUGGCGGCGUGCUUAACACAUGCAAGUCGAACGGAAAGGCCUGCUUUCCCUUGUGGAUUGCGGGUACUCGAGUGGCGAACGGGUGAGUAACACGUGAGUGAUCUGCCCCCAACUUGGGUAUAAGCCUGGGAAACUGGGUCUAAUUCCCGAUAGGACUGCAGGGUGGUGCCUGUGGUGGAAAACGAUUUUCUAGUGGUUGGGGAUGAGCUCGCGGCCUAUCAGCUUGUUGGUGGGGUAAUGGCCUACCAAGGCGGCGACGGGGAGCCGGCCUGGGAGGGUGGACGGCCACAUUGGGACUGAGAUACGGCCCAGACUCCUACGGGAGGCAGCAGUGGGGAAUAUUGCACAAUGGGCGGAAGCCUGAUGCAGCGACGCCGCGUGGGGGAUGACGGCCUUCGGGUUGUAAACUCCUUUCGACCGCGAGGAAGCCACCUGGUUGGAAGGGUGGUGACGGUAGUGGUAGAAGAAGCACCGGCUAACUACGUG